rnacentral:rRNA from 1 species
UAGCAUAUCAAUAAGCGGAGGAAAAGAAACUAACAAGGAUUCCCCUAGUAACUGCGAGUGAAGCGGGAAAAGCUCAAAUUUAAAAUCUGGCGGUCUUUGGCCGUCCGAGUUGUAGUCUGGAGAAGUGUCUUCCGUGCUGGACCGUGUACAAGUCUCUUGGAACAGAGCGUCAUAGAGGGUGAGAAUCCCGUCUUUGACACGGACUACCAGUGCUUUGUGAUGCACUCUCAAAGAGUCGCGUUGUUUGGGAAUGCAGCGCAAAAUGGGUGGUAAAUUCCAUCUAAAGCUAAAUAUUGGCGAGAGACCGAUAGCGAACAAGUACCGUGAGGGAAAGAUGAAAAGCACUUUGGAAAGAGAGUUAAACAGUACGUGAAAUUGCUGAAAGGGAAACGCUUGAAGUCAGUCGCGUUGACCAGAACUCAGCCUUGCUUCGGCUUGGUGCAUUUUCUGGUUGACGGGCCAGCAUCAGUUUUGACUGUAGGAUAAAGGUCAUUGGAAUGUGGCACCUUCGGGUGUGUUAUAGCCUUUGAUUGUAUACUAUGGUUGGGACUGAGGAACUCAGCACGCCUUUAUGGUCGGGGUUCGCCCACGUACGUGCUUAGGAUGCUGGCGUAAUGGCUUUAAACGACCCGUCUUGAAACACGGACCAAGGAGUCUAACAUACCUGCGAGUGUUUGGGUGGUAAACCCGAGCGCGUAAUGAAAGUGAAAGUUGGGAUCUCUGUCGUGGAGAGCACCGACGCCCGGACCAGACCUUCUGUGACGGCUCCGAGGUAGAGCAUGUAUGUUGGGACCCGAAAGAUGGUGAACUAUGCCUGAAUAGGGUGAAGCCAGAGGAAACUCUGGUGGAGGCUCGUAGCGAUUCUGACGUGCAAAUCGAUCGUCAAAUUUGGGUAUAGGGGCGAAAGACUAAUCGAACCAUCUAGUAGCUGGUUCCUGCAGA